rnacentral:lncRNA from 1 species
CCAACUGGCAAAAGAAAUUCAUCGAAAAUCAGACAGGGCAGGUUUUUUAGCAUCAAUAAGAAUCAGAACUGGAUGAACAUAAACAAACGUACCACUAUACGGAUUGUGAUGGACACUGCAUAUAUCUGCAAGAAGGGAGAAUAAGGUAGAGAAAUUCAUUAACUCUAAUACUGAAACCAAAAAGGGAAGGAAUUUUGUUCUCUGGAUAGAUAGCAGCAGAUGGUGCAAACUUACAG